UAAACACAGUAUAUGACUGAAAAUUCUUCCAAAGAUUUCUGUGGAAUAAACUCCCAUAUUUAUGCUUAAAUACUGAAAAUAUGUGAGAGCCUGGCUUUUCAAACACAUGGGGAAUUUUUGUGAGAAUUGAAGACGCACAUGGGAUUAAUAUUUAAAGAUAUAACAUGAUUUCUUUGCUUCUGAUGAAGAGGGACCUGUACCUGUUUGCUCUCGAAAUCAUUCGAGUUUUGACUAAACUCUACACCAAACACAAAGUUGUUGUUUUGCUUUUAAGUUUCCGGUAUUUUAUCAAGAAACAUUCAUGAACAGUAAGUAUUUUCUUUGAUUUAUUUUACUACCAGCUAGUAAUGCUUCGUUCUCAACAGCAGUCUUGUGCAUCGUGAUUUAGUUUGCUCGUUCAUCCAUCCUUUUUCACUAAAGUAUUACAAAAAAAAAAAAAAAAAAAAAAAAAAAAAAAAAAAA